GUUCCACACACACGACCUCCCCCCCCCCCAGUCUUCAUCUUUUUCAUCCAAACCCUAGCCGCCGCAUGCCCUCGACUCCAUCCGUACCGCCACGCCAAGCCAUCGCUCCCUCGCCAUCCCUUGCCUACGCGUUCGUGAGCCAAUGCCAGUCGACUAGCCGCUCUGUUUGUGGGUUCCAGUCGUGCCAUCGAGGAUUUUGCCAAGCAACGCUCAUGGGUUCUUGUCCGUGUCGUUCGUGGGUUCAUUAGCGUCGCCCCUCGCUCAAGCCACUACGUCCACAUCACCAGUCCAACCGCGAUGCCCGCAUGUUUUCCUUGAUGUACCUGUACGCCUCGCGUAGGCUGUUGCCACCGUCAACCACUUCUCAGAUCUGCCGACGCCCAUGCGUUUUCGCCAGCCGGUCACUGAUGCAUGCGUUUUCGCCGAACUUUUGGAUUUGGGGACGAGAUUUGGAAGGAAGGGCCUGCUGUCCAUUUGGUUCGAGAUAAGAGCGGGCAAGGAAUUGGUUCCAAGUCGUUGUUCAGUGGGAUUUAAAAUCUGUUAAGAGGAGAUUUUGGAGUCGAAAUCUUGUAAUUGUUGUUGAUAAAGUUUCGUUUGGAAUUCUUCUGAUCCCCGUCAUCGAAUCUCUGUACGAAGGUCACCUCUACCAGAUGAGCAAGCCUGAGAGGAAAGCUCUUCUACUCAUCCAUUCUACACGCCGGCAAGCAAAACCACCAUCCAGAUUUGUGUCAAGACGUUGACACUAUUCUGUAUUUGUUUCUAUCUCUUUUCAUCACUUGUCCUCAUCUUUUUAAUAUCUAUUAUUCACACCAUGUAUCAAACGCUUAAUCAUAGUAUUAAUUGUUAUGAUCGUUUCCAUUAUCG